GUGAGAAUCACAGUGCAGUUCUCCUCUGGCAUGGAUGCCAAUGUAGCAGGUCCUGGAAAAUGGCCUAUGCUAUCACCUUCCCUGCCAAAGGAGAAUUGCCCUGCCAUUCAGUA
rnacentral:pre_miRNA from 1 species